UACGUAGGGUGCAAGCGUUAAUCGGAAUUACUGGGCGUAAAGCGUGCGCAGGCGGCUUUGCAAGACAGAUGUGAAAUCCCCGGGCUCAACCUGGGAAUUGCAUUCGAGACUGCAUUGCUGGAGUACGGAAGAGGAGGGCGGAAUUCCCGGUGUAGCGGUGAAAUGCGUAGAUAUCGGGAGGAACAUCAGUGGCGAAGGCGGCCCUCUGGUCCAGUACUGACACUCAAGUGCGAAAGCGUGGGGAGCAAACGGG
rnacentral:rRNA from 1 species